AAUGAACGCUAGCGGCGUGUUUAAGACAUGCAAGUUGAACGGAGAGUUUGUAGUUUACUAGAAACUUUUAGUGGCGGACGGGUGAGUAACACGUGAAUUACCUACCCAUAAGUGGAGGACAGUCCUGGGAAACUGGGUUUAAUACUCCAUGUGCAUAUAUGUAAAGGUGCCUUCGGGUGCCGCUUAUGGAUGGGUUCGCGAUCUAUCAGCUAGUUGGUGAGGUAAAGGCUCACCAAGGCUACGACGGAUAGCUGGUCUUAGAGGAUGAUCAGUCACACUGGAACUGAGACACGGUCCAGACACCUACGGGUGGCAGCAGUCGAGAAUAAUUCACAAUGGACGAAAGUCUGAUGGUGCAACGCCGCGUGGAGGAUGACGGUUUUCGGAUUGUAAACUCCUGUCAUCGAAGAGUAAGACUUAGUAGUUAAUACCUGCUAAGUUUGAGAGUAUUCGAAGAGGAAGGGACGGCUAACUUCG
rnacentral:rRNA from 1 species